rnacentral:SRP_RNA from 1 species
ACCUUCUGUCACCGGGCUUGGUAACGCUUGCCUGUAACUCAGUCCAGUCAGGUUGGCUCCAUUGGUGCACAAACUGGCUUGCCCAUUCCAAGUCGUGAGUUGGACCAUGUGGCUCGAGCGAAGGCUUGUGUCACGUGGUUCCUAAAGCAGGGGGCACUGCGUAAGGCUGGCUUCACAGAGCUGCGAAAACCCCUCGCUCAUGACAGUGGAAGGAUAACAAGCCGGGGCUCCAUGGCUCCACAAUAACCUGCUGGGCUGUCUCAAAUGAACAACCGU